ACCAAAUAACAUUAUUUUCAAGGAAAAUAUAAUUAAAAUAGAAUUUUAAAAGGGUCUGAGGAGUCUGGGGAGAUAGUUCAGUGGGUAAAGUGCUUGCUGUAUGCAAAUAAGGACCUAAGUCCUCACAGCUGUCUGAUUUGUAACCACAGUACUGGGGGCGGGGACCAGAGAGCAGAUCCUUGGGACUUGAUGAUCAGUUAGCCUAGCCAAUGGAUGAGCUCCAGGUUAAGAAAGAAGCUUGGGUGUGGUGGCACCUGCCUUUAAUCCUAGCACCCAGAGGCAGAGGCAAGUGGGUCAUCGUGAGUUCAAGGCUAGCCUAGUUUAUAUAAAGAGAUUGAGACUGGCCAGGGCUACUUAAUGAGAUCUUGUCUGGGAAAAGAAAAUGGUGAUGGGACCAGAGAGAUGACUCAGCAUUGAGCAGUUAAGGGCACUUGCUCUUCUUUCUGAAGACCUUGGCUUGGUUUCCAGCACCCACAUCAGGUGAUUUCAACUUCAGGGGAAAGACACAAAUACAUGUACACCUAAUUACAUAAAAAAAUAAAUAAUAAAAAAUAAGGUGGAGGGCAUCAGAGGAAAAUAAGGAUAAUAAUCUGUGGCCUCCUCAUAUGCACAUGUCUAUGUGUAGGCAAAUGUGCUCACACAUGCACCCAUCACACACACAUACACUAUACAUAUGAUUAUACCACACAAUACACCAUACACAUAUAUACCAUAUUACAUACAUUACACACAUGUAUCCACCACACAUGUGCAUCCACCAUAUACAUGCAUAUAUGAUGUGGGAAUGAUUUCUUACUAAUAAAGAAACUGCCUUGGCCCAUUUUAUUGGAUAGAAAAUUAGGUAGGCGGAGUAUACAGAAGAGAAUUCUGGGAGAAAGAAGGUUAGAGGAAGAGUCGCCAUGAUUCUCCCGCUCCAGACAGACGCAGGUUAAGAUCCUCUCUGGUAAGCCAGCUCAUGGGCUACACAGAAUAUUAGAAAUGGGUUAGAACAAUAUGUAAGAGCUAGCCAAUAAGAAACUGGACCUAGCCGGGUCAGGCAGUGUUUGAAAGAA